rnacentral:rRNA from 1 species
CCUACGGGUGACAGCAGUGAGGAAUAUUGGUCAAUGGACGAGAGUCUGAACCAGCCACGUAGCGUGAAGGAUGACUGCCCUAUGGGUUGUAAACUUCUUUUAUAUGGGAAUAAAAUGUUCCACGUGUGGGAUUUUGUAUGUACCAUAUGAAUAAGGAUCGGCUAACUCCGUGCCAGCAGCCGCGGUAAUACGGAGGAUCCGAGCGUUAUCCGGAUUUAUUGGGUUUAAAGGGAGCGUAGGUGGAUUGUUAAGUCAGUUGUGAAAGUUUGCGGCUCAACCGUAAAAUUGCAGUUGAAACUGGCAGUCUUGAGUACAGUAGAGGUGGGCGGAAUUCGUGGUGGAGCGGUGAAAUGCUUAGAUAUCACGAAGAACUCCGAUUGCGAAGGCAGUUCACUGGACUGCAACUGACACUGAGGCUCGAAAGUGUGGGUAUCAAACAGGAUUAGAUACCCUGGUAGUC